rnacentral:rRNA from 1 species
ACGCUCGACACCUACGGGAGGCAGCAGUGGGGAAUAUUGCACAAUGGGGGAAACCCUGAUGCAGCGACGCCGCGUGAAGGAAGAAGUAUCUCGGUAUGUAAACCUCUAUCAGCAGGGAAGAAAAUGACGGUACCUGACUAAGAAGCCCCGGCUAACUACGUGUCAGCAGCCGCGGUAAUCUGAGCGGGCUGGCAAGGC